GUGGGAAAAGCUCAACUUUGUAAUCUGGCAGCUUUGCUGUCCGAGUUGUAGUCUCGAGAAAUGUUUUCCGCGCUGGCAUGUGUAUGAGUCUGUUGGAAUACAGCGUCAUAGAGGGUGAGAACCCCGUUCAUGACACAUCUCCCAGUGCUUUGUGAUACAUUUUCGAUGAGUCGAGUUGUUUGGGAAUGCAGCUCAAAAUGGGUGGUAAAUUCCAUCUAAAGCUAAAUAUUGGCGAGAGACCGAUAGCAAACAAGUACCGUGAGGGAAAGAUGAAAAGCACUUUGGAAAGAGAGUUAAAAGUACGUGAAAUUGUUGAAAGGGAAACGCUUGAAGUCAGACGUGCGCAGUGCGAUUCAGCUCUAUUUCGGUAGAGUGUAUUUCGUGCUAUUGCAGGCCAGCAUCGGUUUUGCGAGCCGGAUAAAGGUUAGUGGAAGGUAGCAUCUUCGGAUGUGUUAUAGCCUCUAACUGAAUACGGAUUGCGAGACCGAGGGACGCAGCACGGCGCAAGCCAGAAGAUUCGUCUUCUUCGUGCUUAGGAUGCUGGUGAAAUGGCUUUAAACGACCCGUCUUGAAACACGGACC
rnacentral:rRNA from 1 species